UACGUAGGGGGCAAGCGUUGUCCGGAUUUACUGGGCGUAAAGAGCGUGUAGGCGGCCAAGCAGGUCGGUUGUGAAAACUGGAGGCUCAACCUCCAGACGUCGACGGAAACCGUGUGGCUAGAGUCCGGAAGAGGAGAGUGGAAUUCCUGGUGUAGCGGUGAAAUGCGCAGAUAUCAGGAAGAACACCAAUGGCGAAGGCAGCUCUCUGGGACGGUACUGACGCUGAGACGCGAAAGCGUGGGGAGCGAACAGG
rnacentral:rRNA from 1 species